AAAAUUUUUUAAAUACACCUGGAGUUGGUGGACGUGGGAAGGUGAGACCUCCAUGCCUCUUGGGGGUCCGGCUGUGUGUCAAGCUCUCAGCUGCAGAGAGGGAAGUUCUGUGAGCCUGCACACUGUGCUCUACCCAUCCUAAUCCUGGUUUCUUUACCCAUCAGGAAAGUGAGGCUUAAGAAGUAUGUCAGCCCAAGUUCACACAACUAGCAAGUGUGAAACCAGUAUUUAUGCUUGGCCCUCCGACUCCUAAGCCCAAGAGCUUUAUCCUGCUGUGGGACUCUCUUCCUAGGCCUUCCAGAAAAGAACUUGGGAGACUAUUGUGAUCCAAUAAAGUGGCACUGGUGCUGUGGCAUUUCUGCUAGUCCUUAGCCAUGAACUUUGGCCUUUGACUCUGCUGUCCAGGGAUUUUUGCCUCCAUCGCUGCUUCGCUCAGGUUUUAUCAUCACAGAGUCAUCACCAUGUCCCAUCCCGGUGACUCACUAUGCAAAGCCUGGUGUUCUACUCACAGACUUACCUUGUUUGUCAAAGGUUUGUGGUCACUGAGAAGUGUUAUCAGAUAACCUGAAGAUAGCUAAACACCCUGCCACAGGUGCUGGCCAUUUACCUAAAGGACUCCCCGAAUCACUUCUUGUCCAACUCCAGUUGCCUCUGUUCUUGACUUUGGUAUCUGUCCCAGUUCUGCAUUUAAUGAUUCAUUUUGAAACCUGAAUCUUAGCAUGAGCCAUUUAGACUGGAGUCUGGCAUUCCAUCUCCACCACUUCCUAUGGCCACAGUGUGUGAGAGGCAUUUCUACUUCCUGCUGUACGCUGUAGGCCAACCAGCCAGGUUGUGUCCUGCCUGUUGUCUCUGCCGGUGGAAGGAGACUAAAAAUUAUUCUAGAGACUGGCUUGCUUCUUGAUGCCUCCAAGUGUCUAAACUUAGUGACUUGCUUGAAAUCAAUAGACUACAGCAGAGAUAAUAAGAUGUCACUUCCAUGAUUUAAUUCUAAAUGAUUGUGACUCCUGUCUUGUUAGUAAACUCUCUCUUCCUAGUUUUAAUGAAGCAAGCUGCCAUGUUGGACAGGCCUAUGUGGCAAGGAACUGAGGGUGGCCUCUAGCCAUCUGCCAACUAGGAAAUGAGGCCUUUAGUCUAAGUCCUCAAGGCAGUGAAUCCUACUAACAACCACAUGAAUGAGCUUAGAAGCCAUUCUUUCCCCAGUUGAGUCUUCAGAUGAGACUGUAGACCCUAGGCCAACACCUUGACUGCAGCCUUGUGAGAGACCAUGAAGCAGAGGAUUCAACUGAGCUGCGCCUGGAUUCCUGACCCUCAGAAACUGAGAUAAUAAAUGUAUGUGGUUUGAAGGCACUAAA